GAAUUCAGAGAUGAUGAGAUGGAACAUCAUGAUACAGGAUUGGAACACGAUGCAGAAUCAAUACCCGGAUACUGGCUUCUAAAAAAACGCUAUACAACUGGCUGCAAAGCUGCAAUUUAUGUUUCACAACGUGUCUAACCUACUUCGAAUAAGUUAACAUUUUCCCCUUGGUUUCUAUGGAUAUGUCGACUCAUUUUGUGUACAUGCAUCCCAUUGUAAAUGAACUUUCAUGUGUGUCCAUACGUUCUAAGAUUACAAUCAUUACAGUAAUCAUUCCUCUGUUAUCUACAAGAACCUGCAUUGUACUGCUUUGCUCAGUGUUCAUUACAUGGACUGCAGAACCUUUCUAAAUAAAAUUGCAUAUCUCUACA